rnacentral:rRNA from 1 species
GCCAAAAAUCUAGCCCCAUAAACCCCCAUGUUCCCCUAUUCUCCCCACACAAACUAAAACAUUCAACCAACCUAGUAAAGGCGAUUAAAAAGUUUAUUAGAGCUAUAACUGUAGUACCGCAAGGAAAAGAUGAAAUAAAAAUGAAAUAAAUAUUAAGCCCCAAAAAGUAGAGACAUAUACUCGUACCUUUUGCAUCAUGGUUUAACUAGUCCAACUAAGCAAAAAGAAUUUUAGUUUAUCCCCCCGAAACUAGGCGAGCUACUUCGAGGCAGCUUAAUGAGCGAACCCGUCUCUGUUGCAAAAGAGUGGGACGACCCCCAAGUAGCGGUGACAGACCUAACGAGCCUAGUGAUAGCUGGUUACUUAAAAAAAGGAUUUUAGUCCUGCCUAAAGCACCUUAAAUCAAACUAAAUAACGUAAAUGCUUUAGAGUUACUCAAAUAGGGUACAGCCUGUUUGAAGCUAGGAUACAACCUCAACUAAAGGGUAACCCCCCCCCCCCAAAAAAAAUAAGUGGGCCUAAAAGCAGCCACCUUUAAAAUAGCGUCAAAGCUUACUUCCAGCUUAACAAAAUACCACUAAAUACCCAAAACCCUUUACCCCCAUUAAGUUUCUCUAUAAACUAUAGAGGUAAUUAUGUUAAAACUAGUAAUAAGAAGAAGACCUUCUCUUAAAUGCAACUGUAGGUCAGAAAGGACAAACCACUGACAAUUACAACGUACAUGAAACUAAAAUAGCAACUUUUCAAGAAAACCCUAUUUUACCUAACGUUAACCUAACACCAGAGCAUUCCAAGAAAGAUUAAAAGAAAAAGAAGGAACUCGGCAAACACACUAACCCCGCCUGUUUACCAAAAACAUCGCCUCUUGACCCCUAUAAGAGGUCCAGCCUGCCCAGUGACUUAGUUCAACGGCCGCGGUAUCCUAACCGUGCGAAGGUAGCGUAAUCACUUGUUCUUUAAAUGAGGACUAGUAUGAAUGGCACCACGAAGGUUAAGCUGUCUCCUCUUUCUAAUCAAUGAAACUAAUCCCCCCGUGAAGAAGCGGGGAUAAACAUAUAAGACGAGAAGACCCUAUGGAGCUUUAAACUACAUAGCACUAGCCUUGCACUUUCAGACUCCAGAGAAAUAAAAAUUACCUUGGCUACCAUGACUAUCAGUUUUAGGUUGGGGUGACCGCGGAGUAAAAACUAACCUCCACAUUGAAUGACAAUUACCCUGAGCAAAAAACCACAGCUUUAAGCACCAAUAAAUUGACAUUAAUUGACCCAAUAUUUUGAUCAACGAACCAAGUUACCCUAGGGAUAACAGCGCAAUCCAUUUCAAGAGCUCCUAUCGACAAAUGGGUUUACGACCUCGAUGUUGGAUCAGGGUGUCCCAGUGGUGCAGCCGCUACUAAAGGUUCGUUUGUUCAACGAUUAAAACCCU